rnacentral:rRNA from 1 species
UGGGGGAUAUUGCACAAUGGGCGAAAGCCUGAUGCAGCGACGCCGCGUGGGGGAUGAAGGCCUUCGGGUUGUAAACUUCUUUUGCUCUGAACAAGGCAUGCCAAUGGGUGUGUUGAGUGUAGGGGUUGAUUAGCGCCGGCUAACUACGUGCCAGCAGCCGCGGUAAUACGUAGGGAGCGAGCGUUGUCCGGAAUUAUUGGGCGUAAAGGGCUUGUAGGUGGCUGGUUGCGUCUGUCGUGAAAGCUCAUGGCUUAACUGUGGGUUUGCGGUGGGUACGGGCUGGCUUGAGUGCAGUAGGGGAGGCUGGAAUUCCUGGUGUAGCGGUGGAAUGCGCAGAUAUCAGGAGGAAUACCGGUGGCGAAGGCGGGUCUCUGGGCUGUUACUGACACUGAGGAGCGAAAGCAUGGGGAGCGAACAGG